CCACAGGCCGCUCUAGACACUGGCCACCUUCUUGCUGUGACACCUGCCUCCAGGACAAGGCAGCUGUGCCUUUACUUUCCUCACUUGUCCCGAGGACCUAUUCGGAGACGCUCAGGACCCUUGUCAGGACUUUAGGGAAGCAAGCAGCAGCGUAAUAAACUGGAAAAACACUUUGGGGAAGGAUGAGACAUGUGAGAGCCAACCACAAGGAGCUCUGAGAGUUGUGGGUUCGGAACCUCAGGGAAUGAGGCCUCUGAUGACACGGGAGUAUAGAAUGGGCAGUGCGGCCGACCCAGCCAGCUGUCCCAGCGCUCUUCUCCACAGAUCUGAAUCAAGGCCGAUAAGCCACAAAGUCCUACUCUGCAGCUCCUCCGGAAUUGACCUUGUCCCUGGUCACCUGCCACCACCCUCUCCCUGGACCGUUCUAGAACUAACACAGUCAGGAUGCUGCCGUUCACAUGGAGCUCCUUCCGAAC